UCAAUUUCUCAAAUCCCAAAUUUUGAAGAGGAAAUCCCUAGCCUCCACCCCUUCUCUCCUUCAUCGUUCGACAUCGCAGCCCAUCACCACCGCCUCUAUCUCCGGCGAGGGAGAUCGACAUCAAGGAGAUCUUUCUCCUUCUCUCGGCAGCAUCGCUGCUGUCGCGACACCAAAUCGCCGUAGCCUCUACACCGGAUUCAGCGAGUCGCUGCCGCUGAAAUAUUCACGGCGGUGGAGACGCUGAUCGUGCCGUCCGUCGCCGUCUCUACACUGGUCGGGAGUCCGCUGCCUUCGGAGUUACCGUGCCGCUGGCCCGUCUGCCGUCUUACGUGGGAGCAGCUCAUUCUCCGGCAAUGGCAGCAUCGCCACUGGACGUCGGUCCCUGCCCUUUCUUUCUUUCCAGCGCUGUCGCACAAUACCGAGUUCAGACAGUCCAGCUCCCCCUUCCCGGUAGCGGCUCCGUCGCCAUCUCCGUCAGUUCUCCGGGGCUCCGUCGCCUAAGCUAAGUCCCCCUUCCUAGCUUGUACUAGUUCUUGAGAGUUUACUGAAGUGAGUUAUAGUGUAUGGAGCUACUUGGCAAAUUUUUGUGAUGUUGCUGUAGUAAACCUUUAAGUUCCAUCUUAAGUGAUUUGUUAGAUUCGACAUUAGUUCUAUAAGUUCUGCUCUAUGCUUUGCUAUCUCCCUCAAUCUUAAGGCAUGUUCUAAUGUGAUGCAAAGUGGUGUCGUGGAAGUUACCUGUUGUGGAGUGUUGAAAAUAUAUACAGUGACAAAAUAAGAAGUGGAGAUAAGAAGUGGCAAAAUAUCUGCAUAUGACCUUUGGACAGCUGGAUCCUAGUCAGCAGUGAGGUAGCUUAGUUAGUUAGUUAGUUUGUUAUUUUUGUUAGUUUUGUUAGCUUAGCUUUGUUUUUCUCGAUAGCUAUAUAUAGCUUCCUUGUCCAUUGUAAUCACAAUUUUUUGAUGAUCAAUAAUAGAACACUUCCUCACUUUUCAUUCUAUGGUUUCUGGUUCAUCAUUUUCUACAUGGUAUCAGUGAAAAUUAUCUCAUUUCCGCUGUAAUUCUCUACUUUUAUUCCGAUCAAAUGGCUCCUCGCGGCGGCGGCAAUCAGUUCUAGCCGGCGGAAGACAUUUCUAGUCCUUACCACCUACAUCCGAGUGACAAUCCCGGUCUGCAACUGGUAUCUCAACCUCUUACUGGUUCUAAUUACAUAAAUUGGAGUAGAUCUAUGUCUACGGCUCUCUUAGCUAAGAAUAAACUGCUUUUUGUUAAUGGUGUGUUGUUGAAACCAACCGAUGAUGAUCUCCUUUAUCACGCUUGGAUCCGAUGUAAUAGUUUGGUUGUAUCCUAGAUUAGAAACUCUCUAUCACCUCAGAUUUGUUCUAGCAUCAUGUAUCUAGAUGAUGCGAAGGAAAUAUGGUCAGAUUUGAAAGAUCGCUUCUCACAGUGUGAUUCUGCACGGAUAUAUCAACUCAAGCAGAAAAUUAUGUCUCUAACUCAAGGAGAUGAUGAUGUCAAUACCUACUUCACUAAUCUUCGAAUCAUUUGGGAUGAGUAUAAGCAUACUCAACCAAUAUCCUGGUGCAUUUGUACAAAUUGCAGAUGUCAAAGUGCAGCCAAAUGGCACAAGCAUCAAGAAGAAGAGUGUGCUAUGCAGUUCCUAAUUGGAUUGAAUGCUUCUUAUUCUCAGAUCUGUUCUCACAUUCUAUCUAUGGUGCCUUUACCUACUUUAUCUAAGGCUUUCUCUUUAGUUCUCCAAGAGGAACGACAACGAACUAUUGGAGGAUAUAGUCAAUCUCCAAAAUAUUCUCCUCUGCCCCCAGCUGUGAGUGAGCAUCCAUACUCUGCUAAUACAGCUUCAACUUACUAUAACAGAACCAGAGUUUGUACUCAUUGUGGAAAAACAAAUCACACGGCUGAUAAAUGCUUCACACUUCAUGGAUUUCCACCUAGCUAUGGCAAGGGAAAGUUUAAACCGAAUCAGAAUUGGAAGAAUUACAGUAACUCUAAGUCUGUGAAUUUUGUUGAUGACACCAUUCCAGAGGCAUCUGAGAAGGCUGUUACUUCUUCAACUAUGCCUACAUUCGAUCAGUGUCAGCAGCUGAUUUCUCUACUGCAGAGCCAACUUGCUACUGGUUCCUCUUCCCUUACCUCUUCAGCCGCACAAAAUUUGCCUUCACCUACACAAUCUCCACCUUUUACAGGAAGCUUCUCGGGCAAUUGUGAUUGGGAAGGGUAGAAGAAUGGGAAACUUGUACACUCUAGAUGUACUUUCUAAGCAAGCAGCUACUCAAGGUCAUUCCACUCACCAUACUUCUCCCUCUGCUUCCUUGUCUGUUACUCUUUAAAUGUCAAUUCUGUUAUUAGUAUUGAUGUUUGGCAUAAGAGAUUGGGCCAUUUAUCUUUCAGCAAAUUAAAAACCAUGUCAGAAACUCUCUCUUUCAGUAAUAAAAGUCAUUCAUUGUGUGAAAUUUGUCCUCUUGCUAAGCAACAACAUUUAUCCUUCCAAUCUUCUGACAAUGUUGCUAAAAAUCCUUUUGAUCUCAUUCAUUGUGAUGUUUGGGGCCCUUUUACUCCAAGCACACAUCAAGGAUACAAAUACUUUCUUACUAUAGUUGAUGAUUGCUCGAGAUUUGUCUGGACUUUCUUGAUGCAGACAAAAUCUGAUGUCAAUAUCAUUCUAAAUCAGUUCUUCAAUACCAUUCUCACUCAGUUUUCAAGAAAGAUCAAGGCCAUUAGAUCACUAGUUGGACAGCUGGAUCCUAGUCAGCAGUGAGUCAGCUUAGUUAGUUAGUUAGUUUGUUAUUUUUGUUAGUUUUGUUAGCUCAGCUUUGUUUUUCUCGAUAGCUAUAUAUAGCUUCCUUCUCUAUUGUAAUCACAGUUUUUUGAUGAUCAAUAAUAGAUCACUUCCUCACUUUUCAUUCUAUGGUUUCUGGUUCAUCAUUUUCUACGUGGAGCUGGAGUUGUGGACUCCUUCCUUUGUCACCUAGUUCUCGGCUUGCCUUUGCAGGCUGACUGAGGUUCUUGCUUCUCGAUGAAACAGAAUAAUCUUUCCUAGGAAUCUUCUUACUCUCACUCUCUCCCUCUCCUCUAUUCUCUGUCUACUGAUUGUGAAGUGGAUUUGUGGUGAAUGGAGGGUAUAUAAAUGGAAGCUGUACCUUGUAGUUUGUUGAGAUUUAGCAGAAUCAGAUAUGGAAGUUCCUUGUCUUUCGAUUCUUUGCAACUACUUUAACUGCAUUUUGGUGAUAUACCAUGAACAAGGACGUUUGUAUUUAUGCUAUUAGUUGAUUUCUUUGCAGGUGCAAAACUGAAAUGGUGGUUAACUGCAGCUUUGCAGGGCUGUUGCAGCUGUAAGGGAUGGAUGGUGUUGCACGGUUCAUUUUCCCCAUGGCAGUUCUGCUGUAAAUGCUGGGAUGCAGUGUUUGUUAGCUGUGGAUCUGCAGAGGUGCAGCGGUUGUACCCUCUCUUUUCUGUGGGUUCGGAGCAGCCGUGCUGCAGUUUUUCCUCUCCUUUCUCGGCUCGUGGCAGCCUUGCAGUGGGUCUGCAGCUCCAGGGUGGUACAGAUUGAGUUGCAGUCUACAGGGAAUGGGCUGGCCUACAUACGGCUUAUCGCCCUAACGUCUCCGCCCUUCGGGCCUUUCUGAACCUAGGCCGAGAUGGCUCGCGAAAGAGGCCGAUGAAGCCCUCUAGAAUAUACUAGUUAGUUGGCGUGUAUCUCGUUCGCCUUUGUUUUCACUGUAUGUUUAACGUUUGUAAUUUUAGACUUAGCUCGAUACUAAACGUUGUGUUUUUGUUUACUCGAGAAAUAAACACAUACUCUUUCUUCUUUA